AGAUUUAUUCAUUGGUCAGGCUUAAUUGUCUGUACUGGUGAGAUGAAUCUCUACCUUCUGAGGAACUUUCAUGCCAUUUAUUUGGUGUAAUUGGAAAUCAGGACUAUUACUUUGAAAAAUUAGAGUGUUUAAAGCAGGCUAACGUCUGAAUACAUUAGCAUGGAAUAAUGAAAUAGGACGGACUGGUUCUAUUUUGUUGGUUUCUAGGAUCACCGUAAUG
rnacentral:rRNA from 1 species